rnacentral:rRNA from 1 species
CAGCCGCCGCGGGAAUACGUAGGCGGCAAGCGUUGUCCGGAAUUAUUGGGCGUAAAGGGCUCGCAGGCGGCUUCUUAAGUCUGAUGUGAAAGCCCCCGGCUCAACCGGGGAGGGUCACUGGAAACUGGGAAACUUGAGUGCAGAAGAGGAGAGUGGAAUUCCACGUGUAGCGGUGAAAUGCGUAGAGAUGUGGAGGAACACCAGUGGCGAAGGCGACUCUCUGGUCUGUAACUGACGCUGAGGAGCGAAAGCGUGGGGAGCGAACAGGAUUAGAUACCCCUGUAGUCCCUGUCUCUUAUAC